GACGAACGCUGGCGGCGUGCCUAAUACAUGCCAGUUGAGCGAUGAAGAUUGGUGCUUGCACCAAUUUGAAGAGCAGCGAACGGGUGAGUAACGCGUGGGGAAUCUGCCUUUGAGCGGGGGACAACAUUUGGAAACGAAUGCUAAUACCGCAUAACAACUUUAAACAUAAGUUUUAAGUUUGAAAGAUGCAAUUGCAUCACUCAAAGAUGAUCCCGCGUUGUAUUAGCUAGUUGGUGAGGUAAAGGCUCACCAAGGCGAUGAUACAUAGCCGACCUGAGAGGGUGAUCGGCCACAUUGGGACUGAGACACGGCCCAAACUCCUACGGGAGGCAGCAGUAGGGAAUCUUCGGCAAUGGACGAAAGUCUGACCGAGCAACGCCGCGGGAGUGAAGAAGGGUUUCGGAUCGGAAAACUCUGUUGGUAGAGAAGAACGUUGGUGAGAGUGGAAAGCUCAUCAAGUGACGGUAACUACCCAGAAAGGGACGGCUAACUACGUG
rnacentral:rRNA from 1 species